ACGAACGCUUGCGGCGUGCCUAACACAUGCCAGGCGAACGGAAAGGCCCUGCUUUUGUGGGGUGCUCGAGUGGCGAACGGGGGAGUAACACGUGAGUAACCUGCCCUUGACUUUGGGAUAACUUCAGGAAACUGGGGCUAAUACCGGAUAGGAGCUCCUGCUGCAUGGUGGGGGUUGGAAAGUUUCGGCGGUUGGGGAUGGACUCGCGGCUUAUCAGCUUGUUGGUGGGGUAGUGGCUUACCAAGGCUUUGACGGGUAGCCGGCCUGAGAGGGUGACCGGCCACAUUGGGACUGAGAUACGGCCCAGACUCCUACGGGAGGCAGCAGUGGGGAAUAUUGCACAAUGGGCGGAAGCCUGAUGCAGCAACGCCGCGUGCGGGAUGACGGCCUUCGGGUUGUAAACCGCUUUCGCCUGUGACGAAGCGUGAGUGACGGUAAUGGGUAAAGAAGCACCGGCUAACUACGUG
rnacentral:rRNA from 1 species